UUAUCAAACCGACACAUACAUUAUCAAACUGAGAAAUAUUUUGUUUACCACCACACAACGCGAGUGGGGCAUAAAACUAGUUUAAAUACACAAAACACUUCACUUUCAUCGGACUCGUCAUCUCUUUCAUUAUUCACACACAGACACAGAAUCAGAGAUGAUAUACAGAAAAUGGAGUUUGCUCACCGGUCCGGCGAUGCUAUUCGGCGGUGUCGCCGGCGCUACUGUCGCCCUCUAUCUCACCUUCCGUAAACAAGACCAGUUUACUAAAACGCCUGCGAACAAGCAAGAGCUGAUGCAUGCUGCAAAGUAGAAGUGUGAGUGGACUUGAAUCUCAAUUCACAAUGUUUGGCAUUUAAUUCAGGUUUUGUUUCUUUUAUGAUCUUAUGGGAAGUAUGUAAUUCAGCUUUUGAGCUACUCAUGGACUUUGAUUUUAUUUGAAUAAGAGUGAUGCUUCCUUUUCA